ensembl:lncRNA
GUAAUGAGCUACAUUUGGUGUGGGAUUUUCAAAACUCUAUAGCUUAUAUACAGCUGCUAGAAGAUGAGGUAUUACAUAAACUUGUGAAAUCUACUCCCAGAGAGUUUAUUUACAGUUAGCUACAGUGCAUAUUGAUAGUGCAUAUUCACAAUACCUUUUAACUAUAAAACCUCUUAAUAUUUUGAUUUCACUGAAUUUUAGUUGGAUUAUCAAGUGUGCAUGGAAGACUUAAUUUAGGAAAGUCUACUGUAAGCAUAAUUUGAACCUUUUCUCUUGGGAGAAUUAUUGAAACCUCAUGUUUUAGUAUGAGUAAGUAUCUGUUGAUACAUUAGGAACCUCAUUUAAAGCCCAUUCAUGUCAAUAGAAAAACUUCCUUUGCCUCACUGGGAUGUGGACCAAGGACCAUGCAAGAGUAACUGAACUAAGGAUUCUGCUGACUGUAACAUAUAGUAUAUGCAGUACAGAUCAUAAAAAAUAAAAACAUUUGCUAAGAAUUAUUUUUGCUUUACUGAUGUUUUAAGCAGUAACUUGAUGUAGUAUAGUGAAAAGGAUAUCAAAUAUUCUAGGUUUGAGUCAUUAGAACCAGAUGGUCCGUUAAAGGCUUUUGUCUAAACUAGAAUUAGGAAAGUUUGUAAACUCUGGAUAGUCUGAAAAUAUGCUCAAACUUGAUAUAUCAGAUGAUAUGCCCAGUUUUAUAAUGUGGAAUUCUUUGGCUGUUUUCCUGACAUCCUAGUAAGGUGUUAUACAAUUUAGGCAAUUACAAUAAAAUUUUGGAUGCUGCUGUCAUUACUGUUCUGAUUUGGAACUGGAAAAACAACAAAAUUGCCCUAAUUCAGUGAAGUGGAGAAUAUCACAGGGAAGAAUUAAUGAGGAAAAUAAUUUUUAUUACUUAAUAUUGAUUUAUUGUAUUUACGUCAUGGGUCAUAUUUGUUUGUGUGGAAAAGGUCAGAAAACAACAACAAGAAAACCUGAAUCCUUAUGAUCUUUAUCCUGGAAAAAUGAUAAAUAUUUUCUCCUCAAAAUACUAACAGUAUUUGUAGUGGAAUGACGGUAUCUGACAGUGACCAGUCAGAACUGCAGAAUACAAUACUGAAAUAGUAUUGAUCAUCACAGAAUGAUACAGCAACUUAGCUGUUAAAAUUAAAUGUGUCACUACAGUCCUGUGGCAGUCCUUCUGCAUCCUGGAAGGUAUACUGCCUGUAGACACCUACUACUUUCCCUAUUUACUUGUGUAGUCUGAAGUGUGGAGGGAGGAGGCAGUAUCUAUGAUGGUAGGAAUUCACACAAAUUGUUGAGGAGAUAUAGAGGCAACCUGAAGUUUAUUUCACAUUACUAAUAUAGGUUGUGUGAAGGACAACUGUCCACACAGAAGUCAUAUAUAUUUAAGAUCAGAGAUAACGUUUAUUUUCUUCUUUCCUGACUUGUAUAAAUGCCAACAGAAUCUGGUAAUCUGAAAUUGAAUUAGAGUGUGUCAGGAGUCUUUGGGUGCUAAUCUGAAUGGUUUUGAUGACAUUUUUGUACAAUAUCUUGGGCAUUAGGGGUGGGUUUUGUAAACUUUUUUUUCUCUGUGAUUCCUACUAGUCCCUCUCAGGUGGGAACUUCUUUCUCUGGUGUAUUAGUGGUUUCACUGUCCCCAAGUAAGCUGUCUGCAUACAGCAAGCAGGCAAGCAGGAUCAGAUUUUCUCUGCAGGUACUUGCUGAUUUCAAUACAGAAACAUGAACUUGCAAGUAUACAUCAAGCAGAUUUCAGAGUGGCUCCUCACUGAAUAUGGGCUGGAAUGAAAUGGAAAGUCCCUUCAGAAAGUUAAACUACAUUUUAAGGAAACCAACAUUUAAAAACAUAGUAAUAAGUGAGCUACAGAAGGCAGCACAAGUGCUCAAUUCAGCAGCAUUGGGCCUCUGAAGAAGCCAAGGUUCAGUUAUAAAUUGUAUAUGCCACUUUUUCUAAAAUUUUUUUCCUGUCGAGAUGCAUAACCAAACACCUGGUAGAUUUGCUAGACUGAUUUUCUUUGAGUAGAUGUAUGUAUAGGUACAUGUGCAAACACUUCUUAUCAUGCAUUUGUCUGCUAAUGAUUGUGAAUUUGUAUCAGUGAUUUGCACAACUAAGUCAGGUGGGCACAUAUAGCCCUGCAAAUAUUGACAAGAUAAUAUGUCCUUUUGUCUCCUGCAGUUUCACAGGAAGAUGAUGGAUUAGGAUUUUUUUGCUUUUAAUGUUUCUUGGUUCAGGACCUUCCUUUGAACAUUAAAGUCUAGUGAAACAUGCUCCACAGACUUUGUCCAUAACAACUGGCAAUUUUCCUAUGUUAAGGAGUUGAAGUGAAAACUUUUAUUAUGUCCACCUGCUCAACUAGGUUCUUCCAAGUUUAAAGAUAAAAUAAAAAAUGAAAUGAUUGGUGUAAAGUCAUGACAUCCACAGUUUUCUGUGUAAAAUCAGGUAUUUCUUUUGUUUUGCUUUACUAAGUAUUUAUUAAUUUGUUUGGGAGAUACUUACAUCUUAAUGAGGCUUUUGAAAAACUUACCCUGUGUUUAAAGUUUCUAAGAGAAUUUGAAGCAAGACAAACAAUGUGGUUUUGGGUUUUGUUGUUAACAUUUCUCAACUCUGUUCAUGUAAUAAAAAACAACAUUUUCAUUUGUAUAAUUUGGCCUUAGGGCACAGGAAGAGGUGUGGAAUGAACAGUGGAGAAUGCACUGGAAGUGUAGUGGAGCUUUGGAUCAGAGAGACUGUCACAGAAGCUUGUGAAUUUGGAGAAAGCCAUGUGUCCAUAUGAAAAAAAAAAGUGAAAAGUAUCUUGAUUUGGAUGGUUAUAAGCCAUUUUCUUAAACUGUGAGCAACAGUCUUCUCUCUACAACUCCAUGAGGAGGGGAAGUGAAGGGAAGUGCUGGUUCUUCUCACUGGUAGCCAGUGACAGGACAUGUGAGAACAGCACAAGGUUGCACAGUGGAGGUUUGAACUGGAUAAUAAGAAAAAUCUCUUUAAUAUGACAGUGGUCAGAAGCUAUCACAGGCUUCCUAGGGAUGUUGAUGCCUCAUGCCUGUCGGUGUCCAAGAGAAAUUUGAACUAUUUUCGCCUGUCCUCUCCUGUCCGAAAAUACCAACUCUUUGCAGCUCAUAUUACUAUAAAAAAGAGAUCUCAGAAAAAAUAAUUCAGUUUGGAACUGGCUAUCAGUAUUAAUUUAUAUUAACACAUACUUGAGUAUUGCCCCACUAACUGAAUGAAGUAUACAGAGAAGUCAUUGCAGAAAAGCAAUUAAAAUAUUUUUCUUUAGAGCUAAUUUGUUGCUUUGCAUUUUGCUCCAAGUACUUGGUGCCAUUGAUGCCAGAAGUAGGGAUUUAGUUGUGAUCCUGAGAACUUUAGAACCGAAAGAUGAGUGCAUUUUAUUUGAAAAUUAAAACCCAGCUUGUCCACACUAGCCCAGAACUGGCUGGAUAAUUUGGUGCAGAAAUUCAUUCUCUACUUUGCAUUGGGCGACAAGGUGACAGCAUCCUGUCAUGUUCAGUAAGAGAAUACUCUGAGUGCUAACUCAGGCAUUGACCCUCUGCCUUGGAAGAAAAGCACAAAAAGGAGUUUUCAUGGUAGGGCACUGGGAAGCUCAGUUCACAUAUUCAAGCCAUAACUUCUAAGGGCAGAAGGGACCACAGUGAGUGCUGUCUGUCCCUGGCAUAGCACAGAAUUUUGAAGAAUCAUUACUGCUCCCCACAUCUGUUAUGUGAUUUUGUAAUAGCUCCUAUUCAAAUGCAUAUCCACAGACAGGAUGGUUUUAACAUGCAUCGACAGCCAGCCAGACAGAUGUUUUGAGGCACAUAAUAUAAUUAUUGAUAUGAAAAUCAAAACAAGGUAUCUUAUAAAAGCAGCCACUGUCAGAUCGUUAUGGAUUAGAUCAUCAGUCUUGUUGAUUUAACAAACCCUGUAUUCAUUAUCGUAGCUCAGGGCACUUUUUUCUUUGCCAGAAUUGGCUAUCCUCUUAAUGAAUAUUACAAAUCAUAACCCAAAUUAUAUGCCUUAAACUGUCUUCAUUUUUUUUUUUGCAAUGCUGUUCAGGGGCUUGAUUUGUGUUACUGCAAAGCAUCCCACUGAUGGAGGAAAGGGAGACUGACAUGCAAUGAAUGGGCUGCAGAAUUCUGUGUGGACAAGCAGUAACUCAACCCUCUCAUAGAGUAAUCUCCAUCUUGUGCUUGGACUUCACUGUGGUCUCCUGUGAGCUCCCUCACAGAGAGUAUAGUGCAGACUUUGACUGUGUUUUGAUGAAGACUCAAAGUUUUAUACCAAACAGAUUUGACUGACUGCUAAUGCUGUAUCUCAGCUCUAUUAAGCGUCAAAAAUAGAAAGCUUGGGGGAAAGAAGUGAAAACAUAUUGAAAUUUUUCUCCUGAGUGGUUUAGAAAUUGGACUUUUUUUUUCUUUCAUUUCCCAUUUCACCUCCAGAUAAUCAUAGAAUCAUAUAAUGGUUUAGGUUGGAGGGGACAUUUAAGAUCUUCUAGUUACAACCCUCCUGCUAUAGGCAGGGACACCUCCCUCUAGACCAGGUUGCAUGAAGUCCCAUCCAGCCUGGCUUUGAAUGUUUCCGGGGAGGGGUCAUCCACAGCCUCACUGAACAACCUGUUCCAGUGUCUUAUCACCCUCACAGAAAAAAGUUUCUUCCUAAUAUCUAGUCUAAAUCUACCCUCUUCCAGUUUAAAACCACUUCUCCAUAAUCCUGUCACUACCUGCCCUUAUAAGACAGUCCCUCCCCAGCUUUCCUGUAGGCCCCUUUCAGGUACUGGAAAGCCACUAUAAGGUCUCCUUGGAGCCUUCUCUUCUCCAGGCUGAAGAGCCCCAUCUCUCUCAGCUUCUCCACAUAGUAAUAGACAUAAAAGACAUAGUAAUGUCUUUUCUCUUUUGAAAGACUGUGUACUAACUUUGGGUUAAAAACAUUAGAAGAAAAAGAAAAAUCAGAAUAAAACCAUUAAAAAAAUCUGUUAAAAGAUACUGAGAAAGAAUGUUUCACUUUUUUCAAUUGAAGAAAUUUUCAUUUUUCAAUUGAAGUAUAUAUAUAUCUUCUGCGUAUUUGACCAUAAUUUAAUAUUAGUUGUCAACAGUUUCAAUAAAAAAAAAGUUCCAGUGGAAUUAUUUUGAUAGGGAACUUUUAAAGAACAAUCUAAUUAGACUAGAGUACAAUUUUCAGUGCAGUAACAUGCUGUAAACAUGUAAGUACAGUGGCAGAUGGGAGUAGUAUAUGGACACCUGUUAACAUCUGUUUUCUGUGUAUCAUCUACUGUCCAAGCAAGACAAGCUAAUUGUCAUAUUGACCUUAAACUAAAUUCACUCAUGAAAUAAGAUAAGAACUAUGAGUCACAGUAAUUGCUUGUAGCAAGCAAAGGACCAAGAACUCUUGGAGUUGUUCACCCUCAGGGCAUGUUUUAUAGUCCAGCUUCCUUAAACAGAUAUCUAGAGGAAGUUGGGAACUGUUAGCCUCUAUGAAGUGGGGGAGAUGUUGUGCAAUGGGAUACUCUUGCUGGCUGGUUCUUAAAUGUGGGUGGGGUUUCUUGGUUUUUUUUUUUUUUUUUAAUUGUUAUGGAUUGUUUGAUGGGGAAUUGUUUUUCCAUUAGAAAAAGCAAAACAACUGCUUUCAGUGUAAAACGACCUUUUAGAUUAUGUGCGUGAACCACAAACAGAAAGAACAUAAUUAAAUGCUCCAUGGGCAAGCAGAGUGAGCUUGACUCACUGCUGUGUUACUCCAGUUCUGCACCAGAUGAGUUCAACUGAAGAAAGAUGGAGCUUUACCACCCAUACUAUCUGAAGGGAAGAGGUCUCAUAAUGCCCUUUUGCAGAAUCCCUCCAGUUGGAUCAGGAGAUUCUGGUAUCUUAAUAAGCACUUCUGAUUCACUAUGGGGAGAGAACUCCUGUCCAUGGGAAUCCUUUUUAAUGGCUAUAGUGGCUGAAUGUUAUGAAGAAUCAAGACUGCACAGAAAAGCUUGUCCCAGAGUACUGAGAUGGAGGAUGCAUAUGACGUGAUAUGUGUACCACAUAUAUUACAUGAUGUAUCCUGAUGUGACUUAACAUGUUUCAGGAAUAAUGUUCUGAAAAUUAGACUAACCAAAAAGAUCUGUGGAAGUUGCAUUUCCUAGUUAGCAAUGACCUUCAUAAUAUCAGGGGGGCUUCAGCACUUUGUUUUACAGAAAAUACUUGCAUUUAAGUCAGUUCUAGGAAAUAGGCCUUCUAAUGGGUAGUGGCUGACAUAACACAUAUGUGACACUUAUCCUUGUUAGGAUGUUUUGAGGCUUUCCUUUGAGUAGCUCUCUACCACAGAAAUAAAUCAUCUCCUCAUGGAGAGCAGAUGAACAACAACGUAUGAAAAGAGGAUUUAUGGCUGUGGCAGCUUUUCUAAACGUCUUAGGUGUCCUGGACUAUAGUUCUAUAGUGCCUCCUAGAGGCACAGACUAUAGGUACGAGGGCAGGAAGCCGAAGUAUAGCUGAUAGGUUGAGGCAAUGCCAAUUGCAUGUUUACUUGUGUGUUGGCUGAAUUCCUCUGCAGCUGUUGUGACUUGUGAGUGUUUGAUUAAUUUAAUGCAAUGGAAAUGCUCAGUACUUGGCAUAUGAACCAAUGUAGACUCUCUGUUAAUAGGAGAUAGUGAUUUCUGGCUUGUCUUCUCCCAGUGUGGAUGAUACAUUAAUAGCCAUGCCUUCACGGUAAAACAGGAAUACUUGCUUUCUAGGAGAUGGUGAAUCCAGGUGAGAAUUAUGCAAUUCCAUGAAGGCAAAUCAGAGAGGAGAGUACUGAUUGUCAGACUUGGCUGCAUGGUAAACACUUUAAUCUUCAGUAAAGAUAAUGGCUUGCAAAACCCUAAUUGUUGGCUGACUCCAGUAGACCAUAUUCCUGAAAGUAAAACAAAUUACACACAGACCACAUAAUCCAUGGCUAUCCUUGCAAUCUAGGGAUAGGUGGUUGUUCCAAACUUUUUCACCUCUGUUGACACUGAGUUGACUUCCAGUUGGCUAGAGGGUAGAAUAGAAAAGAAUGCUAGAUAUGGAUUUAAUGUAGGAUAGAAAAGGAUGAGUUUGGACACUUAUGCUGUCACUUGUUUUGGCACUUGGCAUCCAGAGGGUAUAUUUCUGGAUCCUGCAACCUACUAUCUGUGAUUUUCUGCAUUCAAACUGGAUAAGAAUGAUAGUGUAUGACCUGUUAUAGCCUCAUGAAGUGCUCUGCACUACUAAUGUAGACCAUUAAGCAUUCCUGAGGUGGGGUUAAAUCAUGUCAGUGUGCUGCAAGGUUUUCAAACACUUUCUGAGAAUUACCUUUUUCUGGAUUAGAAAUGCUUUCUUUUGGACACGCCUCUUCUGCUUGCAGCUUCUUCCUUUAUUGCUUCCCAUCUGUGGUCCUGUUGUCCAUUUGCAGUCACAUUGUUUCACUCUCCCUGUUCAGUGGUAGGUAGGACUACCAGAGAAGAAAAUAUUUCAUGUGUCUCCCAUCAGUCUUUACUGUCACAUGUUUAUUCUUUCUGAACAGACAGUAGUCAUUUUGGAUAAUUCUACAACUCCUUUGGCCUUCUUCUGAGUUCAUCAUGCUAUUUUGUCCAUGCUACUUUUGGCUUCUUGUUCCAGCUGAUGACUCCAGUUUCUGUGGCAGCUCCCAGCUCUUCUCCUGUCAUUAAUUAGGGUCCUUGUAUUAGGAGAAGGUGUUGUUUUCUUGUCUGUGAAAAAAUCCAGAAAAGACAUCUGGAUCUUUAUCUGACAACAAUCAGAAGGAGAAAUGGAAAGCAGAAAAAAAGUCAGUGUAAUUGGAUGGCUGAAUGUGUAACGGGAAUUCUGCCAGUACAAGACCAUCAGAACCUGAUUGAUUAUGGAUGGUUUUUGUAUUGAAAGUGUAUUGAAAGUGUAUUGAAAGUUUUUUUUCUUUUUUUGCCUUGUCAUCACUUCUCAAUAUUUGAAGUGAGAAGUGCAGUUUAACAAUACAAGCCAGUAGUAAAUGGUCUUGAGGUGUUAGAGCUUGGAUAGUAUAGGAUUCUUUUUUCUUUCUUUUUUUUUUUUUUUUUGAAUAAGCAACAACAGCAACAAAACACAUUUUAUAGAUUUAUAGAGAUUUGACCAGGAGUAGAAGGAGACAGGCUAUUUAGAAAAAAGUACAGGAGCUCAUACACACAUUUUUUUGUGCCAAGAUAGUUCCUGAUGGCAAAGUUCUGAACCUGAUGGAUAUUUUGUGAAUGCAUGGGCCUCCUUAUUCUCAGCAAAGUCAUCAGUUAUCAUUGAACCUGAAAGCAUGACUAGACUGACCUUUGCAUUGGCACCAAAGCAAAUGAAGAAAGACACCAAAAACAUUUCUGUUGGUUGCAGCUGGUCAACAUCCACUUCUUUACAGGGAUUUGUGCAGGCAGACAGUGCUGUCUAGAAGAUGGGAAACAAAGUUAUGAACAAGAUGGUGUGUGGCAAAAAUGCAAAUUUUAUUUUAUAUUUGUGAGCAAAACCCAAGCAAUAUUGAGUAUCUGUAGUGCAUAAAAGCAUUUUGUUUGUGAAACCAGAUGGGUUUAUAGCAGAAACAAUUCUACCUCAGAGGAUAUUGAAAAUGUGAUCGGGCUGGGUACAGCAAAAUCCCAAGCACAUCUAAGUUUUGGGGUAACCUCAGGAUUCCCUUGGAGUAACUUACUGCUCAAUUUCAUGUCAGGAAAAAAACAACAAACAACUAAACAAUAAAAUGAACUUUGCGGGUUUACAUACAGUAUCAAGCCUCAUAUUCCAUCACUGUCCUGGUUUCAGCUUGGAUAGAGUUAAUUCUCUGGUAUGGUGCUGUGUUUUGGAUUUAGGAUAAAAAUAAUGUUGAUAACUUGCCAAUGUUUAGCUGAACAGUACUUUCACCCAGCCAAGGACAUUUGAGCUUCUCACACUGCCCUGCCAGUGAAGAGGCUGGGGGUGGGGUGAACAAGGAGCUGAGGGGGGGCAGAACCAGCUAACCAAACUGGCCAAAGGAGUAUUCCAUGUCAUAUGGCAUCAUGCUGAAUUGGCUAGAUUAGGGUGGGGUACUGCUCAGGGACUGGCUUGGCAUCAGUCAGCAGGUGGUGAGCAAUUGCAUUAUGCCUCAUAAGUUUUGUAUAUUCUUUUAUGAUGAUGAUGAUGACUAUUAUUGUUUUACCUUCCUUUUCUGUUCUAUUAAACUGUCUUUAUCUCUACCCAUGAAUGAGUUUUACCUUUUUCUGAUUGUUUUCCCUAUCCCUGUGGGGGAAAGUGAGUGAGUGGCUGUAUGGUGCUGAGCUGCCUGCCAGAUUAAACCACAACUACCACCGAGGCUGUUGGCAUUUUAAAAAAGCUUUAGAGCUAGGAAGGAAUAAAAGAGUCUCAAAUAAGAUACUGCACACUUAAUUUAUUUAUGAUUGCUGCCAUGCACCUUCCUAAAGAAUAAUGGGACCUAUUCAUUUGUCUGUGUGACUAAGUGAUAAAGUGUGUCUGUGAUCUGCUGGUACAGACUUGUGCUUGUUACAGCUGGCCAAGAAUAGAGUUUUUUUCUGUGUUAAACAAGAUCAUUGGUAUCCAGGAAGAUUUCACUGGAAGUUUUUCAGCACUGCAGGGAUGGAGAGGUCCCUUGGAAGCUCUUCCUGCUGCUAUGUAAGGGAAGCUGCAGAAAGAUCUUUGCCAUGUCCUUUUGUAACUCCCAUAAUCUGUAAACUUGUGUGGUCAAAGUAUAGCUAACAUGCUAGAGAGGGCUUGUGAUCUUGUGACUGGACUAGUUGCAGUUUCACAGAAGAAAACUAGCUUUAUCUCCCUAAUCCUUUUGCUGGCAGGCAGGACAUGAAAAAUGAAGUUGAGACACUGUACCUAUUUAUUGCUUAAUUUUUUUCCCAUAAAUUCUAACCUUGUGGUUAAAAAACCCCCAAACAUUCAGUAAUUCUCAGAUGUAAACAAGGAGAAAAAUAAUACUCCAGAAAGCAAGAGCUUGUAAGUAUCCAAACCCUAAAUAUGUUAACACAGCUGUAUAUCAUGUGACCCAUCUCAGUUCUGACACAAAAAUAUGUAAAAUGUUUGAAAAUGUCCAUAGUAUUGUGAUUUUUUUAUGAUCUCCAAGUGGAACAAGAAUAAUACAACGGUUAAAAAUCCAAAUGGAAUGAAUGAACAGUUGUGCUGAAAUUACAUAAACUACCCUUUUUCUUUGGUAAUAUUUAAAAACUUCUACUAAAGCCCUGCCAUCAUAAUUCUGUGCAAGGUAGAGGCCCUGAACAAGAAGCAUUAUAUCUUGGUAUAGUAAAUAACCUGAUUACUCUUGCUUAUAACUCUGAUAUCUUGUCUGUCUUUACCUGGUAUAUUCUGAGUGUAGCUCAGUGAGUGAAUCUGUGAAUCUGGUCAACGGCUGAAGUCUUGUAUUGGCAGGUGUAAGCUCUGGCCCUGGCUGUAGCUGAUUACCUGCACUAGGCAAAGCAGAGGUGAGAGUACCAGUUGCACUCAAACAAUUUAGGAAUCCAAAUUCAUCCUCAAGAAGCUGAUCAGUAAAUCUUGAAUGCAUAAAGUGAAGAGAAAGGUUCACUGAAAUUCACAAAAAUAUGACAGAAGAAGAAAAGUGAUUAAAAACAUAUAAGUGGAAUUUAUUCAGUCGUAAAUGUUAUCUGUGUGCCAGGUCUUCUUUCAAAGCUAUAGGAUUUUUUUUUUCCCACAUAGUUAUUGUUUAGUAAUAAAUCUGAAAAGCUUCUACAAAUAUCUACUUGGCUCAAAGCAAUAGAUGUUAUGAAGGCUUCAACUAUAAUGACAAGUGCAGGAUGUUGUCAGUUGAUCUUGGACAAAAAAGAAAUUGAAGUGUCUUCAGUAACACUUUAAAUACAAUUUUAAUUCUAAGCAAUUUGAAAAUUAGUGUAGUUGCACUUCGUAAUUUCAAGAAAAAAUAAUACCAUUUUCACCUUUUCUUUUUCUUUUCUUCAUUUUUUUCUUUCUCAUCUCCACUACUUGCUCUCUAGGUUAAUUUUAUAUAUUUUUUUAAUCUUAAAAUGCAUUUAGAAAUAUAUCUACACUGAUUAAAUUAGGAUGUAUAUAUUUGGGGCAGGGACUGCCUUGAGUCAUCCAGUUGCUCAGCACAUGUGAGUGACUGAUAUUACCUGACAGUGUAACAAAGUACUUCUAUGUCACAUUAGAAAUCAUUACUUCUGAUAAGUAGAUUUACAAUAUGUUUUCCUACUGCUCUUACUGUCAUUAUGGCACCUCUGUAGAUGUACAAUACUUGCAAAAUGAAAGGGCCUUUCCUUCACAAACCUUUAUGAAUUCAGACACUUGAAACUAUAUUUCGGCUUGUCCUGCAGCAACUUUAUGCAUCUAAGUGGCAGUGUGCAGAAAAAGGCAUGCAAUCUGGAAGUGAAGGGGAAUGGCCUGAAGGCUGCUGUGAGAUUUUCUCCAGGACUCUUCUGUUAGUCAGACAGGCGGUCUCCACAGCAGAGGUCCACUGAAGCUUCACACAUAGAAUCUUUUUUAAGAGUGCAUACUGCUGUGAGUAUAUUUGUGAUAGUAUCUAAUAACUUGCAUCUAGAUGUUAGGUAUUGCUGUUUGAAGAAGUUUUCUGUUGCAAAGAAGUACAUCAUGUACUGACUAGGACAGUGAGAGAAAAAUAUGCAAAAAAAUGUCAAAAUAUGUCAAAAAAAAAAAAGUCAUUUCUGGCAUUAAGCAAAUUAUUUGGCACAAUUCAAUCCUUAUUACCAGAAAAUUUCAUCUAAGAGUGCUGCUGGUGAUAGGAAGGAGGCAAAACUCAGCAGGGUGUGUUACUCUUCUACCUCCUCUCUUGAUGAUUAAGUUGUUAAUUUGCAGUGGUGGAGACUAAGGUUUAAUUAUGUCCUCUACUCCAAAGAUCUAGAUCCUGCUAUCCUGUCUCUCAGAACAGUCAAUGAGCAAUUAGUGGCAUGAAGACUACCACAAUGUGCUCUCAGUUGUUCCUCUUCACAAUUUUUCACUUCCAAGGAACAGUUUCAUACCUUCUCUGCUAUGUGACUUUACCAGGCUUUAAAGAUGUUCUUAGGCUUGAUGGUGGCCCCUUAAGCACUUAAACAUGCAAAGUGAAUCAGUUUGAGCUCCUCAAAACUCCCCAGUACCUAGACACUUAAGCAAAGUUGGGUCAGAGUUCAAGCUAGUGCUCUGUCUGAUGAGGAUAGGAGUCUGAAUGUGGAUCCCUAAUUCCUUAGGUGAAUGUCCUAGCAAUUAUUCUUCAGAUCACUACAAAAUGGAACAGGUCAAAUAAGCCACAUCAUGCAAAGUAUGUCAGAAAUAUUUGAAAGUCACUGAGAAUACAGUGAGAAUGAUUCUCUUAUCUUGUGUUAAUGGUAGUCACUUGGGAAGGUGGAGUAAACCCUAUUACAUUUUACAUGGCAUGGAAUAAACUUUCUCAGUAAAACAUAGGAACGAAUUGUAUAUUAUGUCAAGAACAAUCCUUUUGCAACCAUUAUUUACAAGUUCCCCUGAAUUUUCUUACCUUUUUUGUUUGAAUUUGCCAAAUGUUUACGUUUUCCAAAAAUGUUUCCUCUUGAGACACAUGGAACAUUUCACAUUGAAGGAAAUAUAGUGGUCUGGGUGGAGAUGGUAUUGAUUGUCAUGUGGAAACUUGGAAAAAUUGUGAAUUUGGUUCAGUUUGAACCAACAUUCUUUUUCAAACGUUUGGCUUGGCCAAACUGAAAAACUAGUUAUCUUCACAGCUCUAAACCCUCCUUUGCAGUUGGACCCUGAUUUUACAAAGAAAAUCAUAGUAUAGUCGCUGGAGCUGUUCAUCUAUGGCACAGUGGCAUGAAAUGGAAGCCCCACUAGAAUGUAGCGGUGUCUGAAGAUUUUAGAAAUGCUGGAGUUCUGAAGAGGGAUUAAAUGAUGGCAUUCACAGUAUGCGUACUACUGGUCUUUACAAAGGCACUACUGUUUUCAUGGAUUCCCUGUCAGUUACUUGCCAAAAAGAUACCUCUGAUGCACGUCUUUAUGGGAAAUAGGAAAAAGAGGAGAGUUCUUGACUUGUUUGCAUUGUUAGCUUGGAACGGAUACAUUCCUUUCUCUAACUUUUUUCAUUUCAUGAUGUAAUGAGAACAUUUUAAACCAGGACAAACAAACAGCAAGUGCCAAGCUUUUUCCUAAAAGCUCCUUAUGAUCAAACAUACCCAUCCAUGCUUUUGAAUACCUCAUAAUUAAACAUGCCUAAAUGGAGACUUAAUUUGAACAUGUAAAUUAAUCACAUGUUAUAACAAUUGAAAUUCAUAACCGAACAUCCAUUAGCAGACAACGCCGUUCCUCAUUCUUUUGUCUGCAUGUUUAUAGUAAUCAUGCAAUAGGAUUUAUGGUGCAUAUCACCCUUUGAAAAUUAAUUCUGAAUCAACAUAGGAGAUGUGUUCCCAUUUCUAUUGUAUAGCUUUGCUCUAAAAAUGCAAAUAAUUGCAAAUUAAGCCCCAGAUGUCUAAAGAGCAGCAGGAGUAACCAUUUAUUUGAUGUAUGAUGCACAACAUGUCAUUUCUGUGUCACUCCUCAAUGGGUUAAAUGAGUUUCAUCGUUUGGAUGUUUUAGGAAAAUAAUAAACAAUGUAGCUCAUUCAAAAAACAGCUGCGUUUUUUUUUCUUUUCUUUAAAAACAAAAACAAAAAAAGAAGAAGACAAAGUUAUUUAAAAUUUGUUUUCAGUUGCCUGCUAAGAAAAUAAGUUUACAUAAAAGAAACCUCAUUUCCUUAUGAAAAAUUGUGAAUUUACCUUCUGAAGCAAUUUAGUAAAAGCCAAAAUUUUUCUGUGCAUUUAGCAACUACUGAAUUGCUGUGGUGGGCUAUAUUAAGUAUAGAUGGAUGAGAAUUAGGUCAGUGGAGAAAACACAAGCUGCACCCUUCAGAGCUAAACCUGCACACACAUUACCUUAAAGAUGCUUACAUAAUGAAUGUCUGUGUUUGCUUGUGUAUUUCAGUGUAUGUUUAUGACAGACCAUGAAGCUAUCCCCAACAGGCAUUUGAGAAAGACAAAUCCCCAGCAUAUUUGCAUGUCCAUUAAACAACAAUAGCACUUCUAUCAAUAAGAAAUGAAUUUAUUUGCUUGACUCCCUUGGGCUCAGAUUUCACUGUAGGGCCCAGUCUUCAAGUGGAGUUUGGUCAGUAUAGGCUCUUCAUUAACUUUACUAGGUGUUAGAUCAGGCCUUGAUAUUCUUCUCCAUCCGCUAGUGUUUACUCAGGUGACAACACUGCAUUUAGUUUUCUCGCCUAUGCAGCAGGAGUUCUUUGCAACUGAAACCCUGUGCUGCCCUUAUGGUUUAAACUCAGCUUUGUGCUCAAUGUCCUGCUUCCUAAUGUGCUACACAGCUGUCCUGUGCUCUUGGCUUCAUGCCAUCUUCAUGUUACUCCUCCCAGUAGGUCAACCGUUUUCACUCUGCUGUUCUGUUAAUGCCUUUUAUAGAACCACCUUUUUAUAGUGCUACUUGCAGGAAAUGCUUUUCCUGCAAUGUGUCUGGAUCAUUUACAGCCUAAAAUGUUACCAUAUGCAGCUUAAGCCUAAAGGACCUUAUCUUGCCCUAGUCUGUAUAGUAGCAUCAUACAGUCAGACAACACAUUGACUUGCGAGGAAUUUUUUUUUUUUUUUUUUUUAAAGAAGGGGCUCUCAUCCUCUUCUACUUAAAUACCUAAAUCUGAUGAGAAACACUUGGAACACAUACAUGAGAACUUGGACUGUUCAGUUAUUAACCUGGAGCCUAGAUAAUGAGGGAGAGCUAUACUGGGACAGAGUACUAAGUGUGAAGACAGGAAAGUGUAAAAAUGCAGCAAAAUGGCUUUGUGAUAAUUAGUGGAAAGGAGGUCACAGCCUGUCUUUCUGUCCAACACAAGCCUCUUAUUUAUUAUUGUGGCAUGACAGCAUAUGGCUCUGAGUUUUUAGUGGACUACUACCAUUUCUCAGUUGUUUUUGCUUUCUCUUUUCUCACAGUAAGAUGUGACUUAAAUUCCUAAACUCAAAACCCCCAAAAAUUCAACCCACAAGCCCCAGUGGUAUUUGAAGUUUAUGUAUUCUUUAACCAAAGGCCUUUGCAUAACCAGAUACUGGUACAUUCUUUAGUGAAAUUCUUGAAGCUUUGGGCUUAACCACUGCUUCUUUCAGUGAGGUGCUUGAAAACACGUCAACUAUGUAGCUGUACUGGAGGGCUGUGUGGAUGAGGUAUGUCCUUUUUCUCAAAUUGACUAAUGUCAAGGUCCAGACUGAGGCAGGUUCUUGGCUUCAGCUUGAACAGUCCCAUGGUGAUGUCAGAAUUUUGGUGUUUAUAUUUAAACAUUUUUUGUUAUUAUCAUUAUUACAGAGAAAAGCUGCAGAUUUGGCAUGCAUUAAUCUCUUAUAGAGGUAUCUGCUGGAGUAAGCAGAGAACUUUGUGAAUUUGUAUAAGUUAUUAAUUCUGAAGUCUUUACAUAGCCUGCAGCAGUGGACUUGGGUGUAGACAGGAGAAAUUCACCAAACUGGGCAAAGAGACUUGGUUUCUGAAAGAACAGAAAGAAACAAUACAGCAACAUCUUUGCUGGAAGGAGAGAUCUAAUAGUGCUUAAAUAGACUUGAGAGAGACAGAAACUCACAAAGGGCUUACAAGGCUGGAAUUAAACAAAACUAAGUGGGAUUCAAAAAUGUACUUAGAACAAAAAAAAAAAAAAAUCCUGAAAAGGAAAAGACAGUCUCCCUUUCCAUGCAAAAUCAAAAAGGAACACUAUUAAAAUGUUCUUAAAGUAUUCAGUUUCUUUUAACAACACUUAGGAUACACUGGGCAGUCCAACAUGAUCCUGUGUGUAUUGGCAAAGCAUAGUAGCCUUUUGGAUACAAAAACUUCAUCUAAGUGUGUUUCAGAUCCAUGUGUGAUAAACUUCAUUUGUUAAAUACGGGAGGUUUAUCUAUUCUUUAAAACACCAGUUGUGUUUCACUUAGUGAACCAAAAUAAUAUAAUGGCAUUAGGCUUCUUGGCUCUUAGCUGACUUCUCCAUUUUUCUCUAAAGUGUGGUGUUAAUGAGUAAUUUCAGUGUAAGGACCCUUUUGCUGAAAUAUUUUUCAAAAACUCUGAUUGCUUUUCUCCUAAAUUCUCUGUGUAAUCUUCAUUGCCUUUCAGUUUACUGUGGGAGACUGGUUGAGAGCACCUUGAAAUAAAAUCCAAGGCUGUGCCUUUUUUCCUCUAUAUUUUCGAUAGGAUUCUUGUUCAGAUAUCAUGAGUGGGAACAUGAUCAAGAAGCAUAGAGCCAGAGUCUAGAGCAAGUUAAUCUGACAGUGCUGUUCUGGGCACUGGUUCCUUCGUGGCCUUAGGCAGAACACGUGACCUUUCCACCUCAGUGUUCUUUUCAUUAAUAUAGGGUGAUGAAAAUAAUUUAAUUCCUAUCAUCUGACACAACAUAUUUGCUAUAGACAGAGGAAAUGGUAUGGAAAUAGCCUUUCUGAGGAUUGUUGAAAAUCAGAGCAUAUCCAUCACAUAUCAUUGAAUUAUUUCAAUUUUAUUUAUUUAUCUAUUUUUAAUGAAGGAACUCAGUUCUUAAUUGAAAAGGCUGAAACAUUUAAAGGUUGAAUUUGUCGUUUGGAGAGUAUUCUGAAUUUCAAGAAAACUACCCCCCCACUGUUUCAUUAUGAGAAAUAUUCUAAAGGCUUUCCAAAAGUUUUGUCUUUAUGCAGAACCACAGUCUGUUUAUUUCUUCAUGCCAAAGAUGAGGUUUGGCAGAGGAUUUAUCCCAUACCCUUGCCAACAGCUCUCCUAAGAGCACACUCAGUUAGUUUAUAUUACUACUUUUGAAAAAGGAAACAUUAAAGAAACUGUAUUUUUAAUACAGUAUAAAGGUCCUCUGAAGGCUGAAAAUGCCUCCCUCUGGCCCCACCUCCCUGCAAAGGGCUAGGGGAAGUGAGGGAAAAAGGAGUCCUACAGUCAAAAGAACUGCCUCUGUGUGAGGCCUGAGAGCUAGGACAGCUUCGCGCUAACCCUCAUUUUCCUGCAGGCUCUGGUUUUCAAAAAUUCUUUCUAAGUCUAGUUGCUUAAGUUGAGACAACCGUGUCUUCAUUUUCAGCAAGUCUGGCACUCUCAACACCUGCUGAUUAUACUGUGACUGUUUAAGGGAAGGAUUUAGAAUGCCUCCUGCCAGUCUCUCAUCCUACUGCAAGUGCACUUGGUAGAUAGAGAGGGGAGGACCCAGUGCCUUGAUCUGUCCAUCUGUCAACUCUUUGACCUUCUGAACACAACUGCAUCCCGUCUGCAGCAUCUCUGAAUGGUCGUGAAGUCUGUAGUUGUUAUGUCCACCUUCCAUUUUCUUGCUCUUAAAGUAGUAUAAGCUCUAGCUGGUGUCUGGAACACUGGCCCUAUCUCACAUACACUGAGUGACAUGACAGCUACAUUGGCUAACUUUUGACUUAAUAUGACAUUGUUCUUCCUGCAUACUGGGGAUAGUGAGACUUGAAGCAUCUUCCUAAAUAUUCAGUGGAAAUAACUGCUGUUGACUACACUGUUUCAUUUCAGCACAGAGGGUCUUUUUAACACUUCUAAAUCUUCAAUUCUGAGAUAAUAUAUAGUCAAAACAUAGAAGGCCACAGAAAUGCCUGAUUCUGUAGCUAUGUUAUGCACAGUGAGAGAGCAUUUCAGGUGAUUGUAAAAAGACUUGUGUAUUGUAAAUGUGGGGAAAAAAUGUAUAUACACAUCCAUCCAUCUGAACUCAGAUGGUAUUUUUAGAAACCAAAUAUAAAUGUCAUAGCCCUCUUCCAGCUGAAUAUUUAUCUUCUCCAGAAGUUAUCAUGUAAGUCCAUUUGUUAUCUUUAGUCAUGGGUCAAUUGUGCAUGUGCUAGGGCUGGUCAGCUAUCAAAGAGAAAGCUAAAGCAUGGAAAGUGCUAAUUUUCAUCUGAGUUCCCAAAACUAAAAUGGUAGCAUUUGAUUUUCAAAAUUUUCUUUUCUUUUCUUUAUUAAACUGCCACAUCCAGAAUUUCCUGUUCAACCACAAUACUUUUUCCUCCUAGGGGCCAAAUCAAAGAAUUUCUUUUAGGUAGCUAAAAUGUUACCAAAAUGUUAGGGAUCUUCAUGCAAAAUCUGCAGAAUCUGGUACGUGCUAAUAUGUUGUAAUAAGAUUUGAGUAACCAGUGUUGCAUUGUUAAGAUCCUUCUUUUCUUCUGUAAGUGUAUCUGUCUUAGAGAUCUGUCAGAGUUGCACCAGUGUGGGCCAAGCUACAUGGUUGGGGACCUUAAGGCUCUGCAGAGAGAGUUAUCAUUUGAGAUUCAAAGCAUUUCUAUGAUGAUAUGAAAAUAAAACUAUGCUACAAGUUCUUCAAGUAUUCCACAAGGGAGUUUUUUUAUAAUCUGCAAUUAUUUUUCAUACUGGUAGAAUAAACAUGGAAAGCUUCAGUAUGUAGAUCCUCCUGUAACUGGUCACUACUUUGCACUGAUACUCACAUGGCAAUCCUUGAAGAACUUGAUCCCUUUUUAUGCUGUAAAUAGAUAUUUUGUUUAGUUAACCUACUGAAAGAUCUGAAAGGGAAUCAAUAUGUUCUGUAAACUCAAGAGAAGGGAUUGUUUGAAUUUCUCGCUUCCUUCACAUUACAGAGCAAAAGUUUCAAUCUGUCACAUCUGCAUCAAGCCCAAAUCCUUUUAAGUUUCAUUGAAGUGUUACCUGCAAAUGUAAACUUGUAAGCACAAUCUCUUUUCCACUCUUUAUUUGGAAAACUGUGAUUCCCUGAGCUUGGAAUGAAUAAAGUCCCAUAUUGAAAAAGGUCUCAUUUCCUAUGAUAUUGGUCUACUUUUCUAACAAGGCUCAAGCUCCAAUUGGAGCUUUUCCAGUGGCUAGGAAAUUUCUAACUGUUCAGUACUGUGGAUUCCCUGAAAGCCUAGUAGCAUAUGUUUACACUGAAGCCUUUCCUUAUUAGAAGCAGUAUUAAGGUCAUUCUAUAUAUCAAUACAACUAUUUUCCUGCCUCCUGCUUGUAAUAUAAUUAUGUUUGAGGUGCCUGCUUUUAUCAGAUAUGGUUGAAAUUUGUGAUUGUGUCAAAAGUUAUUGAAGAGAUAGUAGGCAUAUGAUGAGUCAUGCAGACAAAACUCAACUGUAAGAUUUGUUUCCCUGGGAUAUCUGGCACCUGUAUUGCCAGAGAUAUCUGAACCUUUGUGGAUUUUCAUUGUCCUAUUUCUACUGUUUCUUAGAGAAGGAGAGAUAGGAGAGUUUCAUUGGAUGUAAAACAGCAUUCCCAUAGGAUAUCGGUUAUGACCAAUGGAAUAAAUUUCAUGCUGAUGUUUUGCCCAUUUCUGGGAUUGUUUUUCAUCGUGGUGGUCCUUGAAAAAUAUAUUUAUACAUACAACUGUCCUGCUGGACUGGAAAUAAGAGUAAAUUGUUUCAUUUUUGUCAUGUUUCCAAGGUCCUUUGUCAUGUCAACGGCCAAUAGGCAGGAUACAAGUGAGAUAUCAAGGCUCUUCUUACCUUCAUUUCUGUGUCUGUUUGCUGUAUUUAAAGAUGCUCCUUGAUUUUAUUACAAUAAUACUUUUCAUUUAUAAAUUUGGACCUCCUCUGAUGUGAGCCCCAAGCAUUUCCAUUUCUAAGUGCAAAAAAGUUAAUCCCUGUGUAAUUAAAAGUGGUGCCAGUUUCUAACCACACUGCCUUACCUACCCUAGUCCUUUGGAAAUGUUUUACGUGCAACAACUUUAUAUACUAAACAAGUUUGUUUAAUAAAAAUGUUGUUACGAUAACUAUAAACAACAUAUUUUUGACAUGACUAAUGUUUUCAUGAAGUUGCUUUCAUUUUCACAGGUCACUGCUUCCUUUUCCAGCCUCACAAACAGUUUUCUCAAUCAUCUGGGUGCCUCAGCGCUUGGAUCUGUGUCCUAUGAUUUGAUCUUCUUUUCAGAGUGUUCUCUCAUUUGUCUCUGUCCAUGUGUUGUUUUUCUGACACUUCUUUUUUUCUAGUGGCACUUUAUAACAAAUUUUCUCUAUGAUGAACUGUUAAAAGAAGUGAGAUAUCCAGAAAUAAACUGGAAAAAAAAAAAAAAAAAAAAGAAGCAACUGACCAAUAAUCUGCAUAGAAACCAUCCAGCCUGGAUCUCAGCUGCAAAGUGGAGAACUAAGGGGUGAAGAGGAUGAGUGGCCUUUAAAAUGUCGUCUUGUGGUCAUCAAAGUGGCAAAAGGCAAUCUCGUAAACCUUCUAAUGUUGGAGGCUGAUGGCCAGGUCAAUGACCAUACAGAACAAUGGUGGCAACCUCAAACGUGGUUAGGAGGGUUAUUACUGAAAACUGAAUCUCGACAUGAGCCUAAGAAAUAAGUGCUAACUGACUCUAAAAACUAGAGGACAACUCUGUGAAUACCACCGCAAAUACCACUGGCAAGAGACACGUCUCCAAGCUGUCUUCAGACUCCAGAGUAAAUAAAUAAAAUAUUUCAGAGAGAAGAGGCCUGUAUACGUUGGCAGCAUUGCUUGACUUUGUGUGUAAAACCAAGCACGAUUUGAACUUCCACUAGGUAGACACCAACACAAGAAACUCAUUUAAACUGGUCAAAUUCUAACAAACAUUUUCUGUGAAGUUUUGGUGAGCUGGAGUUUGCCAGAAGUUUUUCCAGGAAUUAACAACCUCCAAAGACUGCAAACACUUUUUCUUCUGAACAUCUCUGCCCAGAAUCUUUCUCCAAAACUCAUAAAGCAAGAACUUGAGAAAACCUGCUUGAAAAGCAGUCUGCUUUGUAAAAAUAUAGUAGGAUCUCACUAGACUUUGAAGCAAGGGAGAACCAAAAUAAAGGCAGUGAAGACAUUACCCUCACUGUGUUUCCAAAUACUAUUGGAGAAAAUGCAAAAGCUUUAAGCAUAAUACUAGGGGUUGGUCGUUUAUCUAUUCACCUUCUUCUACUUCAAACCUACUGAUUUCUCUGCAUGAAAGUCAUAAGCUGAUCUUAGCUCAUCUCUGAUUAAGGAUGGUCCUUUGGUCCUCUUGGAUAGUCCUCUUCAUAUUCCAUGUCCCCACAGUUAGUCCUUGGUAAUCAAGCCUUGGCUUAUACACAUGCCAAUCCACCCCCAAAAAGCAAACAAAUAUAACAACUACAUUGAGAAUGAGAUAAUGUUACUCUGUGAUCACAGUUAUUGUGUUACCUUACACUUUCAGUGGGUCAGUUAUCUCUCUGGAGUAGUUAAAAAUGUUCUGUUGGCCCAUUGACUCGGUGGUAUAUUUGCUCGCUUCUAGCAAGCCUAAUGGACUAAUAUCAGUGGACAUUUAUUCUUGGAAGAGAUACACUUGCCAAGAUUUUAGGUCUUUGGCGAAAAUCAGCUCUGUACAGGAGUUAGGGUUUGUUAGAGUUGUUGUUUGUUUGUUUGUUUAACAUGAGAAGAAAUAAACAUUAUUUUUAACUUUGAAGAGACUUUAACUUCAGACACUGCCUGUGCACAGCCCCAGAGAGGACAAGGGCCAUGAGAAAUGUGAUGACAUUUGGUUGCAUAAUUUUGAAUUGAAUGAGAUUUACAUAUGUUUUUAGUACAAACAAAGCAAGAAACAAGCAUUCUUGGAGGAUACUCUUUUAGCAAAUGUUCAAAAAUUUGGUGAGCACAGCUACAUUACAUCUAAAGUCAAAAAUCUUAAGAGGCAAGUAUGUAAGAUAAGAUGAUCAUUUCCAUCUAUACAGUUAUUCAUGUUCUCUUGUCUUUUAGGACCAUAUAGCUUAACUAUAAUCUCUCAACACUUGAACUUUGAGCUACUUUGAUCAUACUUACUUUCACAGGGCAUACUGAAGAGUGGUUAAUUCUGUGGUACGUGAAAUUUGCACAAUACUUCUUUUUUCUUAAUGGAACACAUUUUUAGUAUUUUGCAAGCAAUCCACAAGUUAUUACUUCACGUUUGGUUUUAAAAUACAGUUUGGAAAAUCAAAACAAGUUUUGACUACACAUUAAUCAUACAGAGAAAAAAAUUCAAUACAAAAUAAAUUAAAGUAGCUUCCCAGGGGAAAUGUUUAAUCAGUUUCAAGUGUUUUUAAGAAGAAUGAGAAAUGAUGAAAAGCCUUUUACAGAAAGUGUUAAAUCAGUUAAUAAAUUUUUUGACUGCAUCUGCAUAAAUAGUUAUAGAUAAUUUAAACCAGCUUUCAAAGUAGUACAGUAAGAUAGGCUUUGGCAUAGAGUAGAAUAUGGCAUGAACAGAAAGAAGGUUCUGUUUUUACUUCCUUUCUUUCCUUCUUUUCCUGUUGCACAUAAAUAUUUGUAUCUCACUUUGAUCUAUCAUCAAAUCAUGUAUGACAGAAGUCUUGACCUGUUGGUUACCAACAACUAUUUGAUAUUGGUUAUGGCCACAGGAAAAUCAAAAGUAAAAUCUAGUAAAUAAAUUAUAAUUGCCAAAAAAAGAAAGAGUGUGCCUUCAUUAUAUUUUUCUUGUUACUGUUAUCCCUGUUCUGCCUUCUAAUUGGAAUCACAGAGUCUCCUUGCUUAGAAGAGGUUCCCAAUUAUAACCAGCACACAGGCAUACUGGCCACUUCCGAAUGUGAUUUUUGUUGCAUUAACCUUAAGCUCAGGCCUAAACGCUGUCCUUCUUAGGAAAGAAUAAAAUUCCUGGAUCAGUUCUGUAUGUAGAAAUCUUCAUAUCUUCUGGACUCUAGAUCUUGCAGUUACAAUGCCUUCAGGCAUAACCUUGCCUUCAGCUAGAUGCCUGAGUUCAUUACAACUCAUAGGCUGUCCAUCAGUCCAUAUGUUACUGAAUACUAUGUCUCAGUUUAUAAAUUUCCUUGUACAGGGUCAGCCUUUGUUGUUACUGAAUUAUACUGUGUCAAGUACAGUGUGGCUUCAACCCCUUUGAGUUGUUUUAUUGGUCUAAGAACUUUAUCUCUGCUGUCAUGUAACAGUGGCUCCAAUCUAAUACUGUGGAUCAGACAAUCUAAAAGAGGAGAUGCAACACUCAUGGACAUUUCCGAAGCACAGAAUGCUAGAGUCACUUAAUGCUAGAGUUACUUCCUUGAGUUACUUCCUGUGUUCUGCACCAAAACUCACUUGAUAGAUGAUAAGGAAAAAAUACAAAUUCCAAAAUAAAUUAGUCCAAAUACCCAGGAAACUUGGUAUCCCUUUGUUCCUACAUCAUCUCUACCCACAAUUCUAUUCUGUUCUAUACCAGAUUACAAGUCAAAGCUCAUCAUUACCUUCUUUUUCUCAUGAACAGAGUAACAUAAUCUUCAGUCGAGACUUUUUUCCAUAUUCCUUCAUUUCCAUGACCUACUUAUGAAAGUAAUCCUCAAUUUCUUGGAGACUGCAAUUCUCACUAAAUUCUAAUUAAUGAAAGACUGCUGAAAGCCAGCCACAGAAAUCAUCUGUUAGAAGACUUUGUACAUGCUAGAUUUGUAAGGGUCCAUAUAUGCAUCUACAGCACCUUGUCUGUGACAGUGGUAGUGAAAAUGUCUUUCAUUUCUCUUCAUCAGUGCAUUUUAUUUAAAUGCUUAGUUUCUAUCAUUUAGUCCCAAUGUUGAAGUUUCUAAAUAAUUAUCAGAAAAAAAUAACUGUCAAAAACAAAACAUUGAAAUUAUAUCUAAAGGUUGGUACAGAUGCCAGCAAAUAUCUUCUAAAUGGAAUUUAGGAUAUGGUAUGCCCUCAGAUGUAAGAAAUUACAAGACCAACUUGACUAAUUGAACCAAAAAAAUUUCCAUCAAACAACUUUGUACCAGGUAUCUAAGCUAUCUCAGGGAGUCAUGAAAGUGAUGGGCAAGGCUUGAUCAGUAUCUGUUCUGGGGAACUUAGCCUCAGAACACAUCACCUUGGCCAUAUAUUUCAUCACCUUGUUGAUCAAAGAAAAGCAUUCACUUAUUUGACAUAUCUUUCCCACAAGAAGUGCAAUCUACAGAAAAGCAACACAAAUCCUUAACUAAAUAGCCACAAGCAAAAGAUAAAACAAAACCCUCAACAUUUUGUUUCACCUGAAAUCUCUUUUCUUUACUUCUUUAUUGUCUAUGUCUCCCUUUGACAAUAUACCCUUUUUGUCUCUUUGUCUCUCUCUCCUAUAUUAUGUUUAGGUUGAUUUUAUUCCAUCCAUUGGUCUCACCUGGAAUUUUUGUAGAGAUUUACAUGGGAUUUUCAUAGUCAAUUGCAUAGUAUGAUAGGGUUUAAUGGCCAGUGAACCAUUGUGCUGUAUCUCCCAAGUCUCUGAAGAGUUAAAAGCUCUGGCAUUGACUGUAGCACAAAGGGAAGGCUAGCCACGGAUUCCAGCAUUGCUUUUUAUUAUGUUGCAGCUGUACUGCACUCAAUUCUACUUGGAAAACUUCCUGAACGAGAAUCUAUUUCCCUCACUUCACUUUUGGAAUAUGUACUGUUUUGGUUUUUGGCUCAUCUUUGAAGCAAUGUUCUUUUUGUCAGUAUUGAAGGAAUGAAGGGUAUAUUUAAAGAAUAAACUGUUGGGAUGUGUUUGGUGAUUUUGAUUUAGGAUGUAGGAAUAAGGUUCUCAAGGGAUGGAAAACUUGAACUCUAAAAAUAAUGACCAUCUAAAUUUUGGUGGAGGUAUUAUUAUUGCAUUGACUCAUAUGGUCUCUACUUGGUUACAUUUCUACUUAGGAAUGGGGCAUUCAUUUACAAUGCAACAAUAUUUAUAGUAGUUACAAGCCAUAAGCACUUUCUUCCAGUGGUUAUUUAAAUAAUGUUAAUAAAAUUCAUAUAUAGCACAAUGUAUUAACUCUCAUGCCUAGAAAACACAUUAGCCAGAAUUUAACUUAAUACAGUUCUUAAAGAUAGAUACGAAGUCACUUGUGCAAUUUUUAGGUGGGUGUAAAUUCUGAAUAAAUUUUGUGUAUGUGUAGGUCACCUUUCUCUGCAUUGAAGGUUUUCCAAAAGACAACUCUUGAUUGCUGUCUCCUCUGUGGAACCUUAACAGAGCUAAACCUGAAGAAAUACAAUGCAGUUUCUCCAUAGAAAAACUAUAGUGUACUUGUCCCACUGAAUCCCAACUGUAUUAGCUCCUCAGACUCAGGAAUUGCACUACAGUGGGGUUGGGAUUUGAAUGUAAAUAUUUUCUUUGUAAAAAUAGCAACCUGGAGAGAAAUCAGCAACCCAACUCAGUUAUAGGCUAACAUUACCAAUUUAUUCACUGCCUACAGGCAUUUAUACAUAUGUAAUGGUUUGCUUCACUGCAGUGUAAAGGUAAUCCAUAAAGCAGAACAGAAUUUUUCAAAGAAGUUGGCCAAGUUCUGCCAUUUAUUUGUAUUGUGGGCUACAAUUAUGAAGUUGGAAAGUAAAUUUUUCAACAUAAUCUGAAAAGAAAGUUGUCCCUAACGUAGGAAAAUCCAAGAAAACAAAGCUCAUUCUUCAUCAGGAUAAAGUAAGGAUCAAUCUUGACCAUAAGGGGGAAAGAUGUUCCAGAUUUCAUUAGAAAGUGUCAGCUUUCACAAUUAGGGAAUUUUUUUUGACUGAUACCAGCUGAGUUCUGUAGCAGACAGUGAGAAUCUCUGUGGUUGGAGAAAAGGAAUCAGACUUUUCAUGAUAUGUUAUAGGAUUUUCAUGUCUGUGCCUUAGAACUAGGAGUAGAUAUUGACCAGUGACAUUCACUCGUAUGUGUUUUAAAAGUAAACUUUCAGCUUUCACCUUGUACUGAGUCAAAUGACAACUCACAGCCAUUGUAACACCUGGACAAAUUAUGAUAAGCUCUCUACAGUGAGCUACACAAUGUCAAUCUCUUAACCGCAUGUAUUUAAAAUGAGGUAUUUUGGUUUGCAAGCACAGUUGCAAAGUUUCCAAAAUAAAUCCAUUUUCUUCCCUUUCUCUACUUAAGCCAUUAAUUUGUAUUCUCUUCACUUAAUUAUGUUGUUGCUUUUCCAGGAAAACAGAACAUUUAAUCUCUUACUAAAUCAGAAAAGUAAGAAUUUCUUACUGCAUCCCUAAUCUGACCAGUGCUGCUAAAUUGGUCAAUUUAUGUACCUUCUUGCUCUCUUAAGCACAGUUUCUCUCCAGAAACAAGACUUUUUAUAGCAAAAGAG